CAUAACAACAGAGAGAAAGAUGAUCUGUUGCAAAAGAAACUUAUGCAGCCAUUAUUGGGCAUGGAUUCACGUCAAUUAUUAUAAGAAGAUAAAGCUCGUUACCUGAAGAGAUGAAAAAACAGCCGAGUUGAAUGAAUACGUAAAAUCUCCUGAGAAUCCUCCUACUCAUUGUCCCAAAGUUUCUUAGUUAUCUUCUUCUCUUGUUCUAUCAAGUUUUGCUCUUACCGUAGCUUGAAACAGAGGACAAACCAUGGCAUGUCAAACCAACUAACCAUAAUGACAUUCUUGAAAGCACAUGAUUUUGAGGAGUACAAUACCUUUUUUUCUUUUGUGGAGGUGGGGGUGAUGAGAGGGAGAGAUAUUAGGUGAGAGAAAGGGAGAGAGAGUUGAGUAAAGGGAAGUAUAGACAUAACAAAGGGGGUAGGAGAGGGAGCAAGAAGAAAAAGGUUCAAAAAAGGAGGAGUAGAAGAAAAGAAAGUUAAAGAGGGAAUUGUUUGGAAUUAAAGUGUGGUGUGUGGAUUCAAGUAGUGAUGGAGGUAAUGAUGAUGAUGCUAUGUUCAAU
rnacentral:lncRNA from 1 species